rnacentral:rRNA from 1 species
AUACGACCACUUCGGACAUCCGAUGGUGGUGAAAGUUCUUCGGUCAGGGAUGGGCCCGCGGCCUAUCAGCUAGUUGGUGGGGUAAUGGCCUACCAAGGCGACGACGGGUAGCCGGCCUGAGAGGGCGACCGGCCACACUGGGACUGAGACACGGCCCAGACUCCUACGGGAGGCAGCAGUGGGGAAUAUUGCGCAAUGGGCGAAAGCCUGACGCAGCGACGCCGCGUGAGGGAUGAAGGCCUUCGGGUUGUAAACCUCUUUCAGCAGGGACGAAGCGAAAGUGACGGUACCUGCAGAAGAAGCACCGGCUAACUACGUG